rnacentral:rRNA from 1 species
UGGGACAUUUUUGCAUGGAAGCCCGCUGACAUGCCAGGUGUUCCCAGGGGACUGGCUGAGCAUCGCUUAAGAGUCGACUCAUCUGCAAAACCAGUCCAAGAGCAUCUUCGGCGGUCCGCCGUCCAGAAGAGAAAAGCCAUUGGUGAAGAAGUGGCUCGACUGUUGGCGGCAGGAUUUAUCCGAGAGAUAUACCACUCCGAGUGGCUCGCUAAUGUCGUCAUGGUUCCUAAGAAGGACAAGUCGCUCCGAAUGUGCAUGGAUUUCAAGCACAUCAACCGGGCCUGCCCGAAAGAUCAUUUUCCU